AGCCUUGUAGUUAAAUAUAAUAUCAAAUUGCAAAUUUGAGGUUGAGUGAAUUCUCUAAGGCUU
rnacentral:tRNA from 1 species